UACGUAGGGGGCAAGCGUUGUCCGGAUUUAUUGGGCGUAAAGCGCGUGUAGGCGGUCCGGUAAGUCGGCUGUGAAAGUCCAGGGCUCAACCCUGGGAUGCCGGUCGAUACUGCCGGACUAGAGUUCGGAAGAGGCGAGUGGAAUUCCCGGUGUAGCGGUGAAAUGCUUAGAUAUGACAUAGAACACCAAUUGCGAAGGCAGCUUACUACACAGUAAUUGACACUGAGGCACGAAAGCGUGGGGAUCAAACAGG
rnacentral:rRNA from 1 species